CUGGCUUGUGGCAGCCAAGCGUUCAUAGC
rnacentral:snRNA from 1 species